rnacentral:lncRNA from 1 species
UCCUGCCUCGGACUCUCGGUGCUUCUCGGCACUCGGCAGACUGGUAAAUGGAAACACACCCAGACACCCUACAGUUUCAGUUCGAUUAACAAACGCAAUACGCCAAUGAGGCAACUCAUGGCGGGUCCCCCAGGCUUGGCCAUGGCCCCUCUACAACUUCCCUCUCUCUCUCUCUCUCUCCUGAGAGGCGGAUCGGCGACAGAGGGGAGACGCUCAGUCUACACACAUCGGCAAAGGGCACUCGAGUGGGUGGAGUGUGGCGAGGAGGGGGACGACGGCGCCAUUGCGACGGAGCGAGGGGACAGGUCACAGGUGAGACCCGACCUCUGGCCAUCUCUUCGUUUCUCUCCCUAAUUUCACGACCAUUCAACUGCCACACGGGGAAUCAGUUCAUGGGUAUUUCCUAUCGGGGCGACAAGUUCCUGUACUAACCAGCGAACACCAUCGAUGGAGUUCAGGAGGUGUCGGAUCCGUCAUCAUUAGGGCUGGUUUGGUGAAGAAAUUGAGCGGGAUUGAGGGGGAAAUUAGUUCAUUUCCCCCUUAAUCCUUUCUAAUCUCCCUCAAUCCCCUUGUCACCAAACCUACCCUUUACAAAGACCAGAAUCCUGGUGGAUAAGCCUGGGGGCGUUAGUUAGCUGGUCGCUAAAUCCAAAAAUUCCUCUUCCGCAGAAAAAGAAACCCAACAAUUCCUGCAUUCUUAAGAUUUGCAUUUAGGCACGAAAUAAUUUUACAACAAUCAUCAGGAGGAAAAAAGAAUCUUGUUCUGGGAGUGCUUGCGUUCUAGCCAAGACAUUUACAAAUGAAAUACCAUAGUUAAUAUGAUAUUUUUCACAGAUUGAUCGCGGUUAGCUUCUGAUAUGGUCAGUAUUUCCAGUUCUAGUACCACCUAGAUUUGUAGCCUGAUCUAGCAUUCUAGCAACCUCUUCCAAGCAUCUUUCCAGGGGGAUCAACUCGGUCAGGCCUUGCCAGAAGUCUGUAGUUUCACUACCAGCGGCAUCGUCACGCGAGCAUCACUUCCAUUUCCAUGCCAAGACAAAGAGCCAAAAACGUAACCUCGAGGAGGCACAUCCACGUGUAAGCUAACUGCGAACAUCCUCUUUUCACCAUAGCUCUUGAAAUUUAUGACUUCUGGUGUCACUCUCACGCUGGUUCCUGGCGGAGCUGACACCACAGCAUGGUAAGUACUCCUUGGAUUGCCCACAUUAGUCAUUGUUCGCGUCACCGAAUAGCUCUGCUUCAGAUACGGAACGGUGAUCGACGGGUAGUUCAGAGCAGUGGCAGAAGAGGAGGCUCUGUGGGUGCAGCUACUGUUGUCUCCGGUGAUUAGAUGCACGGAGUGGUCAUCGCGGCUUAUUAUGGCACAUAAGAAUGACUUGUAGUCUUCAGGAUGUGUAUCGAAGAUGAUCCCUGGGCUGAGAGCUUUGACGGGGUCCAUAAAACCCGAGCCAAAGUCAAACGGCGUUGCAGCCCCCCCAUUGGGGUCCCUUGCUAUGGUUUUCCUUUUGGUGUCCAGUACGGUUGCUGCAAACAAGAUUCAUGAGUCGACAGGUUGCAACACUAGUUUGUCAUCUUCGGAGAUCUCAGGUUACGCGCUAAUAUACCUGUUGUCAUGAUUGCCGAUUUGAUGCCUGAAGGAGACCAUGACGGAUACACGCUCUUCACGAGAGCUGCUAUUCCUGUAACGUGCGGACAUGCCAUGGAAGUUCCAGAUAGAACGUUGAAGCGCAUACCGUUCUUGGCAGGAGACCACGCCGCCAAGAUGUUCAGCCCAGGAGCAGCAACAUCUGGCUACAAAAAAAAAGCACACAUGGAGAAGAAACUGAGGAGGACGUCAAUCAGUUUAUUUAUCACCUGUAUUAGUCUUUCCCAGCGGUUUAGUGCUAGUCGUUACCUUCAGAAUCUCAGGUGUCAGUGAGCUCGGACCUCUCGAAGAGAACGCCGCUACUCGCGGGGCGUCUCGCAGCCCUAAGACCGUCUUUGCCGGCAAGAUCAGUGUGCAGGCACGCCUGUAGAAUUGCUAUUAGACAAAAAAAGAUUGGCAUGCCAAUGAAAUGCACGCUUUCCUAUAUAUAGUAAAGUUCAGACAACCUUGUGCUCUUGACAUAAGAAACAAUUUUAUCACCCAUGGCUUUCCCAACAGUUACUCCAGGCACAGCAAAGCGAUUAGCGACAUGAUCCUCCAUCUCAUCGAUGAGGAUCAUCCCAGCCGCACCAGCUUCCUUCACAACCAUGCUCGUCGAUAGACGUGACUCGGAGGAGCCUUGGUUACGGCGGCAGAUAAGGAUCUUUCCCUUGGCCUUGGUCCUGUUCAAAGAGCUAUCCAGGCACAAGCUGACACCAAGUCCACAAGAAAUUUUCAGUUGGGCUGACAAUCCAAAUCAUGAUUAUCUUUCGAGAUAAUAGUUGUUUAUUGUUUACCUGGACUGGUAAGGGGUGAAAUAGCCUGCGUUGACUUCCGAAGCUGCGAUGGUUCUGACGGGAGUUUCCAUGCGGUACGUACUCAGGCUCUCACCCUUAAUUAAGACCGCAUAUAAUAAGUAGUGUUCCGCAUAUAAAGACUGGAGGCGUCGUUUUUAAGAGUGGGAAGGGAAUUUACCAUUACGGAGGUACCGUUUGCCAGGCUGACAUACGAAGAGAACGAUCUGUCAGUCGUUCCUGCAGCCACCGUGAGCAUCCACGGCGCGAGGUUAGUCGCCGAGCCCUGUCUCCCGGCGUUCCCCGCCGAGGAAACGACCAGUAUCCCGUUGCUCGUCGCGUGGAACGACCCGAUGGAUAUGGCGUCGCUGAGGUAGUCGCCCUGGGGGUAGUCUGGGCCUAGCGACACAGAUAUAAUGUCGACGCCGUCUCUGAUGGCAUCGUCGAACGCCGCGAGAAUGUCAACAUCGUAGCAGCCAGUUUCCCAGCAGGCCUUGUAGGCUGCAAUCCUUGCCAUGGGGGCUCCUCCCCGCCCUCCUCCGGUGCCCAGACCACCUCCGUAGCUCAUGUCCCUGACAAACCUUCCGGCCGCUAUCGAGGCAGUGUGGCUGCCAUGCCCCGAGCUGUCCCUUGGAGAUACGAACUUGAUGGCGCCACCCUCUUCUGUUUGGUAUCCGCUGAGGUAAUAUCUGCCUCCUAUUACCUUCCUAUCGUGCAUGUUUGGGGGGUGGCUUUAGAAAAUUCCAAUGCUGGAAUACCGUACCGUGGGUUGGUUUUAGAGCGUGUGUACCUGUUGCAGGUGAAAUUUGACGGUGAGUUCGCGUCUCCUCCUUGGCAUUGCCCUCUCCAUCUUUUGGGAACCGGAGGCAUCCCGUGGUCACUGAAACUAGGGGAUUCUGGCCAGAUUCCUGAGGAGGUAAAAAAAAAACAAAACAAAACAGUUAGCUAGAAUUCCAUGAUUUUGGUUUCUAUCGAUCCGAUGGUAUCCUUUUUCGUUUCUGUCCGAACAGUCAUUUGAUGGCCAAGUCGGUCGAACAUGAAAACACAAACAUCAUGCCUUGUCAGUUUGUAAGCUAGAACACAACUGGAACUAAUAUGGUGGAAGAGAAGAUAUAUAUUCUUUUGGUGUCACAUGAUCUGACUGAAGAAUGCGAGUUCCAGUUUGAACCUAGCUAGCUUAGUAUACAUGUUACUGCAAUUGUACUCCAUCACCUGUAUCGAUGAAUCCAACAAUGACGUUCUCCUGGUUCUCGGUGGACAGUCCAGGGACCUGACCCUCUGCACUGGUGGACAAGCCCAUGAAAUCCCAGGAAUGGGUGGUGCGCAGUCGCCUCUUUGUGUUUGGGAACACCGAGACGACGCCAGGCAUCUCUGAAGAAAUUGAAGACGCGCAUCAGAAUUAUUAGGCGCCUUUUUGGCAUCACAGCUAGCUAGACUCAUUUAGGGGCCGUCUGUUUGGGAAAUGAAACCCGUAUAAUCUACUCAGACUAUGAUGUAAUCUAACUUGUUUUGGACCAAGAUUAAAUUCUAAAAGAGUAGCCUGUGUUGUGAAACUAAUUACCGGC